ACGAACGCUGGCGGCGUGCUUAACACAUGCAAGUCGAACGGAAAGGCCCUGCUUUUGUGGGGUGCUCGAGUGGCGAACGGGUGAGUAACCCGUGAGUAACCUGCCCUUGACUUUGGGUUAACUUCAGGAAACUGGGGCUAAUACCGGAUAGGAGCUCCUGCUGCAUGGUGGGGGUUGGAAAGUUUCGGCGGUUGGGGAUGGACUCGCGGCUUAUCAGCUUGUUGGGGGGGUAGUGGCUUACCAAGGCUUUGCUGGGUAGCCGGCCUGAGGGGGUGACCGGCAACAUUGGGACUGAGAUACGGCCCAGACUCCUACGGAAGGCAGCAGGGGGGAAUAUUGCACAAUGGGCGGAGGCCUGAUGCAGCAACGCCGCGUGCGGGAUGACGGCCUUCGGGUUGUAAACCGCUUUCGCCUGUGACGAAGCGUGAGUGACGGUAAUGGGUAAAGAAGCACCGGCUAACUACGUG
rnacentral:rRNA from 1 species